GCCUUCAUGGUGUAAUUAGAAACACGCCCGACUGGCAAUCAGGAGAUCAAGGGUUCGAAUCCCGGGCAGGGCA
rnacentral:tRNA from 1 species